AAUCAGAAGUAAGGUCAACAGGAUGAAUCCCACUGUUAUGUUGCUAGAGCCCUUCUGGUGUGGUGUUAAGAUAUGCCCCUGGCAUUUUAAAUUUGGUAAAACCCUAGAAACUGAAGAUAAAAAAGAGAAGACCAGCUCUGCAUGGUGAAAUCGAAUGGACAAAUGAAGAAGCACCAGACAAGUGUCUGUAUGCGGGAUUGGGAGCCAAAAUCUGCCCAGCACCUCCGGUCC
rnacentral:lncRNA from 1 species